UCGUGUUGUAAAUAUAUCCUCCCAAAUUUGAAACAAUCAAACCCUAUUGUCUCCAACAUUACUUAGCCCACUAUCAGCCAAUCGCUUGUAGCUUGAUACACAAACAGAGAGGAAAAUGUCUUGUUGUAUAAUAUUCUGCGAGAUCCUACUCGCAAUCUUGCUCCCUCCUCUCGGUGUCUGCCUCCGCCAUGGCUGCUGCACGGUGGAGUUCUUCAUUUGCUUGAUGUUGACUAUCUUGGGGUAUGUACCUGGCAUCAUUUACGCUCUCUACGCAAUCGCUUGCCUUGAUCCUGAUAGGUUUCGCGGAGAGUACUAUGUGCUAGCAUGAUUCGCCCUUCGUUUCCUGUUCUUCGAUUGUGCUCUCUAUGUUAGGUGAUGAAUUGUAUUACUUCUAUGCUAAUGUUAUUUAUUUAUUGUGUAAUUUUUAUGACAGAAUUGAUUAAUGGAGAUGCUUGAUUCUA